ACKGCUCAGUAACACGUGGAUAACCUGACCUAGGGUGGAGGAUAACCCCGGGAAACUGGGGAUAAUACUCCAUAGGCUACGGAAGCUGGAAUGCUCUGUAACCGAAAGCUCCGGCGCCCUAGGAUGGGUCUGCGGCCGAUUAGGUUGUUGUUGGGGUAACGGCCCAACAAGCCGAUCAUCGGUACGGGUUGUGGGAGCAAGAGCCCGGAGAUGGAUUCUGAGACAUGAAUCCAGGCCCUACGGGGUGCAGCAGGCGCGAAAACUUUACAAUGCGGGCAACCGCGAUAAGGGAACCUCGAGUGCCGACAUCAAAUGUCGGCUGUCGUGAUGCCUAAAAAGCAUUAUAUAGCAAGGGCCGGGCAAGACCGGUGCCAGCCGCCGCGGUAACACCGGCGGCUCGAGUGGUGACCGCUAUUAUUGGGUUUAAAGGGUCUGUAGCCGGCCGGAUGAGUCUCUUGAGAAAUCUGGCCGCUCAACGGUCAGGCUUUCAGGAGAUACUGUCUGGCUCGAGGCCGGGAGAGGUGAGAGGUACUUCAGGGGUAGGGGUGAAAUCUUGUAAUCCUUGAAGGACCACCAGUGGCGAAGGCGUCUCACCAGAACGGACCUGACGGCAAGGGACGAAAGCUAGGGGCACGAACCGGAUUAGAUACCCGGGUAGUCCUAGCCGUAAACGAUACUCGCUAGGUGUCGGCCACGGUGCGACCGUGGUCGGUGCCGCAGGGAAACCGUGAAGCGAGCCACCUGGGAAGUACGGCCGCAAGGCUGAAACUUAAAGGAAUUGGCGGGGGAGCAC
rnacentral:rRNA from 1 species